AUUAAGGGCGCACGGUGGAUGCCUUGGCACUAGAAGCCGAUGAAGGACGUUACUAACGACGAUAUGCUUUGGGUAGCUGUAAGUAAGCGUUGAUCCAGAGAUUUCCGAAUGGGGGAACCCAACAUGAGUUAUGUCAUGUUAUCGACAUGUGAAUUCAUAGCAUGUCAGAAGGCAGACCCGGAGAACUGAAACAUCUUAGUACCCGGAGGAAGAGAAAGAAAAAUCGAUUCCCUGAGUCGCGGC
rnacentral:rRNA from 1 species